rnacentral:rRNA from 1 species
ACGACUACAUAUCAGGCAUAUCAAUAAGCGGAGGAAAAGAAACUAACAAGGAUUCCCUAGUAACGGCGAGUGAAGCGGGAAGAGCUCAAAUUUGAAAUCUUCAAGGUUCUACCUUGACGAAUUGUAGUUUAAAGAAGUGUUUUCUGUUAGAUGAGUAGCAAAAGUUCCUUGGAAUGGGACAUCAUAGAGGGUGAGAAUCCCGUAUUUGGUUAUUCAUUCUAGCUUUGUGAUACACUUUCAAAGAGUCGGAUUGUUUGGGAAUGCAGUCCAAAAUGGGUGGUAAAUUUCAUCUAAAGCUAAAUAUUGGCGAGAGACCGAUAGCGAACAAGUACCGUGAGGGAAAGAUGAAAGAACUUUGAAAAGAGAGUUAAACAGUACGUGAAAUUGUCAAAAGGGAAGCGUUUGACACCAGUGUUGUUUUUCCGAAAAUCAAUUACGAAUGGCUUGAUUUUGUGUUGUAUUGACCUUAUCAGCUUUCUUCACUUUUUUCGAGUCUUUCUUAAUGCACUUUUCGGUUAACAAGUCAACAUCAAUUUCUUUUGUUGUAAAAGAGUAUUUGGAAGGUGGCUUUCUUUUCGGAGAAAGUGUUUAUAGCCCCAUACUUCUACAAUCGGAGAGAUUGAGGUCUGCAGCGUAGAUCCUUCGGGGUUAGAUACACUUGUGCUAAGUUGUAGCUUUUCAUAGACAACUUGUUGACUAUGUUUAGUCAUGCGGCUUACUCGCUUGUGCUAUUUUACCUACGCUUAGGAUGUUGAGUAGCGACAUACGCAC